AGAAAGCAAAUACCAAAAAGAAGAUUUCUAUAAAAAACUUGAUAAAACAUUCCAUUGACUUUUUAAAUCAUCUUGAAUCAUUAUCACAUUCGGAUGAAUAAUAUUAUUGACAGGUAACAUUGACCUACACACAAAAUAGUAUUAUUGAUUGUACAUAAGAUCUCCGAAAUCUGGUUUUGGAUAGUUUAUAGUCCGGUCAAUCGUUAGUUUAUAGUCCGGUCAAUCGUUUGUAUUUUAGUUUCAGUUAUACACGGUUUAUUUUUAAGGGAUUUACAUAAACUUUUUUCAUUUGUGAAAGCUUUAAUCUCAAACGGAGGGUUCGGGUUUGAAUUCAGGUCGAUUUGGUUUAGCUUUAGUUUUAAAUUAGCUAGAAUUUCUUUUGUUUAAUUUUUAAUUUAAACUGCGGAGUUUUAACUAACUUGAAGAACAAUCGUCAAGACUGAAAAUCCACGUGAUUGUGGAUUGUUUUUAUAUAUUUUGUAUAGUUGUCGACUGGAAAGUUUUAUGCGGUGGAGUUUCUUAAAGAGGAUUAUACAUGUCACCAAGAAUAUGAUCAACCAAGAAUUCUAUAAAACCUUUUAUUCAAAUUCAAUGUUUCUCUUUUGAAAGCUUUACGUCAUUAGCGACGUCAUCCUACCAAUGGAUUAUUAGCCCA
rnacentral:lncRNA from 1 species